rnacentral:rRNA from 1 species
GACGAACCGUGCAAACGUUAUUCGGAAUCACUGGGCAUAAAGGGCGCGUAGGCGGCUCCAAAAGUCAGGGGUGAAAUCCGGCAGCUUAACUGUCGCAGUGCCUUUGAUACUGUGGAGCUAGAGGGAGGUAGGGGUCUGUGGAACUUCCGGUGGAGCGGUGAAAUGCGUUGAUAUCGGAAGGAACGCCGGUGGCGAAAGCGACGGACUGGAUCUCUUCUGACGCUGAGGCGCGAAAGCUAGGGGAGCAAACGGG